UGACGGCCUUCGGGUUGUAAACCUCUUUCAGUAGGGAAGAAGCGAAAGUGACGGUACCUGCAGAAGAAGCGCCGGCUAACUACGUGCCAGCAGCCGCGGUAAUACGUAGGGCGCAAGCGUUAUCCGGAAUUAUUGGGCGUAAAGAGCUCGUAGGCGGUUUGUCGCGUCUGCCGUGAAAGUCCGGGGCUCAACUCCGGAUCUGCGGUGGGUACGGGCAGACUAGAGUGAUGUAGGGGAGACUGGAAUUCCUGGUGUAGCGGUGAAAUGCGCAGAUAUCAGGAGGAACACCGAUGGCGAAGGCAGGUCUCUGGGCAUUAACUGACGCUGAGGAGCGAAAGCAUGGGGAGCGAACAGGAUUAGAUACCCUGGUAGUCCAUGCCGUAAACGUUGGGCACUAGGUGUGGGGGACAUUCCACGUUUUCCGCGCCGUAGCUAGCGCAUUAAGUGCCCCGCCUGGGGAGUACGGCCGCAAGGCUAAAACUCAAAGGAAUUGACGGGGGCCCGCACAAGCGGCGGAGCAUGCGGAUUAAUUCGAUGCAACGCGAAGAACCUUACCAAGGCUUGACAUGGACCGGACCGCCGCAGAAAUGUGGUUUCCCCUUUGGGGCUGGUUUACAGGUGGUGCAUGGUUGUCGUCAGCUCGUGUCGUGAGAUGUUGGGUUAAGUCCCGCAACGAGCGCAACCCUCGUUCUAUGUUGCCAGCACGUG
rnacentral:rRNA from 1 species